GGGCGCGUAGCUCAAUGGUAGAGCAGUGGCCUUUUAAGCCAUUGGUUGCGGGUUCGAGUCCCUCCGCGCUCA
rnacentral:tRNA from 2 species